AAAGAAACCUCGUCAAGCAGACACUAGUGUAGAUCAAGUGCUGUUGCUCAGUACAGUAUUUACAGUCAUUGUAUCACAGACUAGAUCAGGGUGAGAAUAGGAUCUGGAUUUAGACGAGACUUCAUUAAAAUCAGGAAAGAUGACACACUGGAUUCAAAAAACUAUCAUUGUUCUCAUAUAUGUCUGGGGAAUAGAGUCGCAGGACAAUGUUGAGCAGAAAACAAGAGUUCAAACUGCUUCUGAAAGUGGAGCUGUAAUAAUCAACUGUACAUAUCAAACCCAGCUCUCCCCGACUCUCUUUUGGUACCAGCAAAAAGUAAACGGGGUUCCUAAAUAUAUGCUGAACAGAGCUGGUCAAACUGGAGAUGAAGACAAAGAGUUCAAAGACAGAUUUAAUGCACAUAUCAACACAUCUUCAAAAUCAUUUCCUCUGUUGAUCAAGGACCUGCGUGUGUCUGACUCUGCUGUGUACUACUGUGCUCUGAACCCCACUGUGACUCAAACACACUCAACACUCACACAAAAACCUUCAUAUAUAAAUAUAUUGGCAUCAUGCAGUAGCUGUAGGGAGCCAGUAGAGGGAGAUCAGUAUCAUUUGUUGAUAUGUGGGUGCUGAGAUCUCACUCUCUGUCAGGAACUUGUUAUAUAAAUCCACACAAACUUCCUCUGACUGAUUAAGAUCUAAAGGGUAUAAAUAAAUGCAUGUGUCCCACUCGAAGAUUUUUAGUUAUUCAUCAGAAUAUGUAAACAGCAUUCAUGAGUUCAU